GUUCUUUGGUUUUUGGCUAUUUCUCAUCGCGAAUUGCUGUUGUUUUGAUAUAAUCUAAUUAUAUUUCCAAUUUGGCGGUUUAUUUUUGGCUAGAGUUGUUGUGCAAGGGCAGGGACUUGGACUUCGCUAUGGCCAUGUUAUGGAUUUGGUUGUACAGAGAUAUCUUGUCACUGUAAGCGGCAAUGAUGGAAAAUGAGUUCUUUCAGAUGCAUGGGCUUUGGAUACUGGCCAGAAACCAUAUGUAUGGCAGAGACUAAACCCUGAAGGCGAUAGGCCUUCUGCUAGAAUGUAUGCGACUGCUAGUGCCCGCUCGGAUGGCAUGUUUUUACUUUGUGGUGGAAGAGAUUACACUGGGGCGGUAUGAUCAAUCCUUGUAUAACAUGUACUUUAUGCAUAAUACAUUACGAUUACAGAUGGAGAUGAUGAA